rnacentral:tRNA from 1 species
GACCGUAUAGCGCAGUGGGUCCGUGUUUGCCUCGAGACCAAGAGGUCGCGGGUUCGAAUCCGGCUGCCGUUU